AUUGAACGCUGGCGGCGUGCCUAAUACAUGCAAGUAGGACGCAGUUGCGAACGGGGGAGUAAAGCGUAGGUAACUACCUAUUAGAGGGGGAUAACUAUUGGAAACGAUAGCUAAUACCGCAUACUCGUAGAUGGACCUGCGUUGUAUUAUCUAGUAGGUAGGGUAAUGGCCUACCUAGGCAACGAUACAUAGCCGGGCUGGGAGGGUGAACGGCCACACUGGGACUGGGACACGGCCCAGACUCCUACGGGAGGCAGCAGUAGGGAAUCUUCGGCAAUGGGGGGAAACCUGACGAGGCAACGCCGCGUGAGUGAAGAAGGUUUUCGGGUCGUAAAGCUCUGUUGGUAAGGAAGCGGUACUUAACCAGAAAGGGACGGCUAACUACGUGCCAGCAGCCGCGGUAAUUC
rnacentral:rRNA from 1 species